rnacentral:rRNA from 1 species
UACGGAGGGUGCAAGCGUUAUUCGGAAUUAUUGGGCGUAAAGAGCGCGUAGGCGGCCUGUCAAGUCAGGUGUGAAAUCCCGGGGCUCAACCCCGGAAGCGCAUUUGAUACUGUAGGGCUUGAGUAUGGGAGAGGGAAGUGGAAUUCCUGGUGUAGCGGUGAAAUGCGUAGAUAUCAGGAGGAACACCGGUGGCGAAGGCGGCUUCCUGGACCAAUACUGACGCUGAGGCGCGAAGGCGUGGGGAGCAAACAGGAUUAGAUACCCUGGUAGUCCACGCAGUAAACGGUGAUCACUAGGUGUAGCGGGUAUUGACCCCUGCUGUGCCGGAGUUAACGCAUUAAGUGAUCCGCCUGGGGAGUACGAUCGCAAGAUUAAA